rnacentral:rRNA from 1 species
UACGUAGGGUGCAAGCGUUGUCCGGAAUUAUUGGGCGUAAAGAGCUCGUAGGCGGUCUGUCGCGUCUGCUGUGAAAACUCGGGGCUUAACCCCGGGCCUGCAGCCGAUACGGGCAAGCUAGAGUUCGGUAGGGGAGACUGGAAUUCCUGGUGUAGCGGUGAAAUGCGCAGAUAUCAGGAGGAACACCGGUGGCGAAGGCGGGUCUCUGGGCCGAUACUGACGCUGAGGAGCGAAAGCGUGGGGAGCAAACAGG